rnacentral:rRNA from 1 species
AAUGAACGCUGGCGGCGUGCCUAACACAUGCAAGUCGAACGAGAACGGGGGGUUUCGGCCCUCUUAGUAAAGUGGCGCACGGGUGAGUAACGCGUGGGUAAUCUGCCCUAAGGUCCUGGAUAACGUUUCGAAAGGGGCGCUAAUACGGGAUAAGACCCCGCCGGCUUCGGCCGAAGAGGUCAAAGAGGCUUUUGGGCCUUGCCUUGGGAUGAGCCUGCGUGACAUUAGAUUGAUGGUGGGGUAAAGGCCUACCAUAUUGUCGACGAUGUCUAGCUGGUCUGAGAGGAUGAUCAGCCACACUGGGACUGGAACACGGCCCAGACUCCUACGGGAGGCAGCAGUGAGGAAUUUUGCGCAAUGGGGGGAACCCUGACGCAGCAACGCCGCGUGAGUGACGAAGGCCGUAAGGUUGUAAAGCUCUGUCGCCCGGGAAGAAAGCCCCGCUCAGGAAAUGGGGUGGGUUUGACGGUACCGGGAAAGGAAGCACCGGCUAACUCCGUGCCAGCAGCCGCGGUAAUACGGGGGGUGCAAGCGUUAUUCGGAAUCAUUGGGUGUAAAGCGCAUGUAGGCGGUUGGGUGUGUCAGAUGUGAAAGCCCCGGGCUUAACCCUGGAAGUGCAUUUGAAACUGCGGGGCUUGAGUCACGGAGGCGGAGCCGGAAUUCCUGGUGUAGGGGUGAAAUCUGUAGAUAUCAGGAAGAACACCGGUGGCGAAGGCGGGCUUCGAGCCGAUGACUGACGCUGAGGCGCGAAAGUGCAGGGGAAAGGCGUCGAGAAGCGUCCGCCGGGAAACCGGCCCCUGCGCAGGUGCUGCAUGGCUGUCGUCAGCUCGUGCCGUGAGGUGUUGGGUUAAGUCCCGCAACGAGCGCAACCCCUACUGCCAGUUGCCAUCAUUUAGUUGGGGACUCUGGCGGAACUGCCGGUGACAAACCGGAGGAAGGUGGGGAUGACGUCAAGUCAUCAUGGCCCUUAUGUCCAGGGCUACACACGUGCUACAAUGGACGGUACAAAGCGGAGCGAAGCCGCGAGGCGCAGGCGAAUCGCUUAAAGCCGUCCGUAGUUCGGAUUGAAGUCUGAAACCCGACUUCAUGAAGUUGGAAUCGCUAGUAAUCGCGCAUCAGCAUGGCGCGGUGAAUACGUUCCCGGGCCUUGUACACACCGCCCGUCACACCAUCCGAGUUGGAGGUACCCGAAGCCGGCAGUCUAACCGUAAGGAGGACGCUGUCGAAGGUACGUUUAGUGAGGAGGGUG